rnacentral:sRNA from 1 species
CAGCGGCCCAGCUUAUUUCUGAACAAUUGACCCUUGGCCACAUUGAACCGUCCUCAUCUCCCUGGAACUCCCCAAUUUUCGUUAUUAAAAAAAAAAUCAGGUAAAUGGCGUCUUCUGCAGGAUAUGAGAAAAAUCAAUGAACAAAUACAGCCAAUGGGAACUUUACAACCUGGCAUGCCAAAUCCAAAUAUGCUCCCGCGAGAAUAUCAGUUGGCGGUGAUUGAUUUAAAGGACUGCUUUUUUUCUAUCCCACUAGCCCCAGCAGACAGGGAACAGUUUGCUUUUAA